CUGAAGGUUAUGACUAAGAGGAGAGCUGCAAAACUUUUUUCAGAGAAUAGACAUUUUUGCUGAGAGUCUUAAAAAGUUGGAGUUCGGGUUGCUUAUGAGCCAAUUUUCUAGAUUUAAUUCUAGAAAAUCGAACAAAUUGUUCGUUAUCAAUGUUAAAGAGGGGCAUAAUACGCCCAAUUUAGGUGGUACCGCGAAGCAUCUUCGUCCUAUGA
rnacentral:ncRNA from 1 species